rnacentral:lncRNA from 10 species
CUAGAUCUCACCGACCUGUUGAGAGGAAAGGAGCCAACCUGGCCUGGUGACCUUCUCUGUGCAAGCAGGGAGCAGGCACACACCACCAAUGAGUGAAGAAGGCUGCUGUGGCAUGCUCGGGACCUAGAGGGAACCUGCCUCAUUGACAGGGGACAGCAGCUGCACAGCUCCAGACAAUCGUUGUCAAGGACGGGAAUGAGAUUCUAACAUGGCUGAUCUGAUUUUUCAAGAAAGAUGAGAAAAAUAGUAAUGGAGGAAAUGGAAGGAAAAAGGAUGGCCAUAAGUUGGAGGCAGGUGAAAGACCCAAAUUCAUGGAAGAGAAGUGAGUCACACAGGGAGCCAGUGGCAGAGCCACACCCCACAGAGCAAUCAACAUGCUCUACUCUGCAGACCUGCAACAGGGAGGGAAGCCAGACUCUGAUGCAAGAAGGAAAGACCAUGUGCUGGCUCAGUGUGUGCAGCCUGGACUGAGCUACUGAACUCUAAAUCCAAGGAUGACUAAUGAGCAAAGGCCCAGAGAGCGAGGAAGCCAGGAGAUGAGCUCUCCCACCUUGUGACUGGGAUUGCGGAGCAGGUGGCAUGACAGACCCUGGGGAAAACGGCAUCUCUUUCUUGGGAAAUUGUCGCUUCUCUUUUUCCCUUUUGGAUCAACACAUUUCAGGACUCGGCCAAACAGUGUAUUUAAAGAGAAAAAAGAGGACGAGAGAGCCAACGCAAAAUUAACCUAACACUCGGCAAAUAACAGGGAUCUGCAGCAAAGUUUUAGUAUUCUUGCAACCACAUUUCAGUUUAGCUUAAUUUAGCCAAUUCCCCAAAUGUGCAGGGUUUCCCAAUUUGGAAGAUGGUAUAGAUAAAAGAAUAUACGUGUAUGCAUGCACACACAUACACAUAACCACACAUCGGUGCACAUACCGCUCUGGGUCAGAAAACCCCGACUCUGCCCCCUUAUUGGCUGUAUGACCCCGAGUGGCUUAAUUAAUCAUGCUGAUCCCC